CUUAUGCGUUGUUGGGUAGGGGAGCGUUCUGUAAGCCUGUGAAGGUGGCCUGUGAGGGUUGCUGGAGGUAUCAGAAGUGCGAAUGCUGACAUAAGUAACGAUAAAGCGGGUGAAAAGCCCGCUCGCCGGAAGACCAAGGGUUCCUGUCCAACGUUAAUCGGGGCAGGGUGAGUCGACCCCUAAGGCGAGGCCGAAAGGCGUAGUCGAUGGGAAACGGGUUAAUAUUCCCGUACUUGGUGUUACUGCGAAGGGGGGACGGAGAAGGCUAUGUUGGCCGGGCGACGGUUGUCCCGGUUUAAGCGUGUAGGCUGGUUUUCCAGGCAAAUCCGGAAAAUCAAGGCUGAGGCGUGACGACGAGGCACUACGGUGCUGAAGCAACAAAUGCCCUGCUUCCAGGAAAAGCCUCUAAGCAUCAGGUAACAUCAAAUCGUACCCCAAACCGACACAGGUGGUCAGGUAGAGAAUACCAAGGCGCUUGAGAGAACUCGGGUGAAGGAACUAGGCAAAAUGGUGCCGUAACUUCGGGAGAAGGCACGCUGACACGUAGGUGAAGUGAUUUACUCAUGGAGCUGAAGUCAGUCGAAGAUACCAGCUGGCUGCAACUGUUUAUUAAAAACACAGCACUGUGCAAACACGAAAGUGGACGUAUACGGUGUGACGCCUGCCCGGUGCCGGAAGGUUAAUUGAUGGGGUCAGCGCAAGCGAAGCUCCUGAUCGAAGCCCCGGUAAACGGCGGCCGUAACUAUAACGGUCCUAAGGUAGCGAAAUUCCUUGUCGGGUAAGUUCCGACCUGCACGAAUGGCGUAAUGAUGGCCAGGCUGUCUCCACCCGAGACUCAGUGAAAUUGAACUCGCUGUGAAGAUGCAGUGUACCCGCGGCAAGACGGAAAGACCCCGUGAACCUUUACUAUAGCUUGACACUGAACAUUGAGCCUUGAUGUGUAGGAUAGGUGGGAGGCUUUGAAGUGUGGACGCCAGUCUGC
rnacentral:rRNA from 1 species